rnacentral:tmRNA from 2 species
GGGGAUGUUUGGUUCGAUACAUUUGCACGUAAAAAUUGGCAAGCCGGGGGGGAUUGUAUACCCUCGAUAUAUAACAACAAUCAAAACACAAACGGCAAUACAUUUAAUAUUGCUCCGGUAACACCAGCUUACGCUUACGCUUAACUUGGAUACGACCGGCAUCACACCGUGACUUUGCCUGACUGAUGCGGAACGUGGUGUCAUAUUCGUCAGGAACUUAUCGAUUUGCACAUUUAUCAUUCAUCGUAAAGCUUGUAUAACCUAUUAUUACGAACAAUUUGUACACGGGGGUUCGAUUCCCCCCAUCUCCACCA